UGGGAAUAUUGGACAAUGGGGGCAACCCUGAUCCAGCCAUGCCGCGUGUGUGAAGAAGGCCUUUUGGUUGUAAAGCACUUUAAGCAGGGAGGAGAGGCUAAUGGUUAAUACCCAUUAGAUUAGACGUUACCUGCAGAAUAAGCACCGGCUAACUCUGUGCCAGCAGCCGCGGUAAUACAGAGGGUGCGAGCGUUAAUCGGAAUUACUGGGCGUAAAGCGAGUGUAGGUGGCUCAUUAAGUCACAUGUGAAAUCCCCGGGCUUAACCUGGGAACUGCAUGUGAUACUGGUGGUGCUAGAAUAUGUGAGAGGGAAGUAGAAUUCCAGGUGUAGCGGUGAAAUGCGUAGAGAUCUGGAGGAAUACCGAUGGCGAAGGCAGCUUCCUGGCAUAAUAUUGACACUGAGAUUCGAAAGCGUGGGUAGCAAAACAGGAUUAGAUACCCUGGUAGUCCACGCCGUAAAACGAUGUCUACUAGCCGUUGGGGUCCUUGAGACUUUAGUGGCGCAGUUAAACGCGAUAAGUAGACCGCCUGGGGAG
rnacentral:rRNA from 1 species